GGGGCCCGCACAAGCGGAGGAACAUGUGGUUAAUUCGAUGAUACGCGAGGAACUUACCUGGCUUAAAUGUAGAGUGCAUUUUUUAGAGAUAGAAAUUCCCUUCGGGGCUUUCUGCAAGGUGCUGCAUGGUUGUCGUCAGCUCGUGCCGUGAGGUGUCGGGUUAAGUCCCAUAACGAGCGCAACCCUUAUCGUUAGUUGCCAUCUGGUAAUGCAGGGGACUCUAGCGAAACUGCCACCGUAAGGUGAGAGGAAGGUGGGGAUGACGUCAAAUCAGCACGGCCCUUAUGUCCAGGGCUACACACGUGUUACAAUGGUCGGUACAGAGGGCAGCUACCUGGUGACAGGAUGCUAAUCUCGAAAACCGGUCUCAGUUCGGAUCGAAGUCUGCAACUCGACUUCGUGAAGCUGGAUUCGCUAGUAAUCGCGCAUCAGCUAUGGCGCGGUGAAUACGUUCCCGGGCCUU
rnacentral:rRNA from 1 species